rnacentral:rRNA from 1 species
UACGGAGGGGACUAGCGUUGUUCGGAAUUACUGGGCGUAAAGCGCACGUAGGCGGAUUUGUAAGUCAGGGGUGAAAUCCCGGGGCUCAACCUCGGAACUGCCUUUGAUACUGCAAAUCUCGAGUCCGGAAGAGGUGAGUGGAAUUCCUAGUGUAGAGGUGAAAUUCGUAGAUAUUAGGAAGAACACCAGUGGCGAAGGCGGCUCACUGGUCCGGUACUGACGCUGAGGAACGAAAGCUAGGGGAGCAAACAGG